GAGUAAUGUAUAGGAAUCUACUUAGUAGUACGGAAUAAUUGUUGGAAACGGCAACUAAUACCGUAUACGCCCUACGGGGGAAAAAUUUAUUGCUAUUAGAUGAGCCUAUAUUAGACUAGUUAGUUGGUGAGGUAAAGGCUUACCAAGACAAUGAUCUAUAGCUGAUCUGAGAGGAUGAUCAGCCACACUGGAACUGAGAUACGGUCCAGACUCCUACGGGAGGCAGCAGUGGGGAAUAUUGGACAAUGGGCGAAAGCCUGAUCCAGCCAUGCCGCAUGAGUGAAGAAGGCCUUCGGGUUGUAAAGCUCUUUUAGUGAGGAAGAUAAUGACGGUACUCACAGAAGAAGUCCUGGCUAACUCCGUGCCAGCAGCCGCGGUAAUACGGAGAGGGCUAGCGUUAUUCGGAAUCAUUGGGCGUAAAGGGCGCGUAGGCGGGUUAGUAAGUUAAAAGUGAAAUCCCAAGGC
rnacentral:rRNA from 2 species